UGAUUUAGGGGUCUGGAGUGUUCCUUUAAUAAUGAAGGGUUCAUGAAUUAAUUGUAGCAUAAUUAAUCUCACCUUGUCUUCUAGUAUUAAACAGUUUUUGUCUAUUUAAUAAACUUCCCAUCCCACUAUCUGAAACAAGCUUCUCCCCAGCCAUAACUUGUCAAAUUAAUAAUGUAUUUUGGGGUUAUCUCAGCACUUUCCACUGUUAGUUGGAAACCUUAUUUUUCUGAUUAACAAAUGAAUAAAAAAGUGAAUGUCUCAUUAAAAUGAAGUUAAAUUUUUAUGAAAAUAUAAAAAUGUGCAAGGGGAGUUUAAAAUGUGCUAAGGAACACCCUAAUAAACUGAGAUAUUGUCCUUGCUGCCCCAUCUGCAUUUUCUUGUCAUAAUGCAUUAACAUAAUCACUAUUUAGUUGAUUAGUAUCGGGAAAUGGACUGACUUUACAUAGCACUUGAGAAUGAAUCUGAUAUUUUGUGUAUCAUUUAGAUUGUAAAGAUAUAAUAGAAAAAUCAAGAUAUGAAAUUUGUUUAAUUUUAGUUGGUUGAAUAAAAAAAUGCCAUUUGUGAUUGAGUUUAUGAAUUUCCAUAAAUAUUUCAAGAAAUAUAUUCUGUGCACUAAUACAUAUCCAUGGUUUUAAAUAAAC